rnacentral:rRNA from 1 species
AACGAACGCUGGCGGCGGGCCUCAUACAUGCAAGUCGAGCGCGAAAGUCCGCAAGGAUGAGUAAAGCGGCGCACGGGUGAGUAACACGUGGAUAAUCUACCCUUUGGAUUGGAAUAACCUGUCGAAAGACGGGCUAAUGCCGAGUAAGCUUACGAGUUCGUGAAGUUCUUGUAAGGAAAGAUGGCGCAAGCUAUCGCCGAUGGAUGAGUCUGCGUCCCAUUAGUUAGUUGGUGGGGUAAUGGCUUACCAAGACUAUGAUGGGUACCUGGUCUGAGAGGAUGACCAGGCACACUGGAACUGAAACACGGUCCAGACUCCUACGGGAGGCAGCAGUAGGGAAUAUUGCGCAAUGGACGAAAGUCUGACGCAGCCACGCCACGUGAGUGAGGAAGGCCUUCGGUUGGUAAGUACG